rnacentral:rRNA from 1 species
AGAGUUUGAUCCUGGCUCAGGAUGAACGCUGGCGGCAUGCCUAAUACAUGCAAGUCGAACGAACUAGUUUACUAGUUAGUGGCGAACGGGUGAGUAACGCGUGGGAAACCUGCCUUUAAGACGAGGAUAACUAUUGGAAACGAUAGCUAAUACUGGAUAGGAUAUAUUAUCACAUGAUUUUAUAUUUAAAGGUUUAAAACACUUAAAGAGGGUCCCGCGUCGCAUUAGCUAGUUGGUGAGGUAACGGCUCACCAAGGCGACGAUGCGUAGCCGGGCUGAGAGGCUGAACGGCCACAUUGGGACUGAGACACGGCCCAAACUCCUACGGGAGGCAGCAGUAGGGAAUUUUCGGCAAUGGGGGAAACCCUGACCGAGCAAUGCCGCGUGAAUGAUGAAGGUUUUC